GUCAAUCAUCGAAUCUUUGAACGCAAAUUGCGCCUUUUUCGGAAGGCAUGUCUGUUUGAGGGCACCAUUUAACUAAUAAUGUGCAGCGUUUUUGUUGCACACGUAGAUGAGCUUUCCAAGAAUUUUAAAUUUUUGGUGGCGCAUAAUGAACAGCGUGAAGGUUUUUUUCAGUUCGAGAUUAGUAAAAUCUUUGCGUGAGUCGUGAAAUGCGUAAUCGCGC
rnacentral:misc_RNA from 1 species